rnacentral:SRP_RNA from 1 species
CCGUGCUAGAUGGGGAGGUAGCGGUGUCUUGUAACCUGCAAUCCGCUAUAGCAGGAUCGAUGCCCGAUAGAGGGUUGGUUUUGUGAGGUCUGCCGCAGAUAAGUGGUGUUGACGGUUGGGUCCCGCGCAACGUGAACUUAUGAACCUUGUCAGGUCCGGAAGGAAGCAGCAAUAAGUAAGCCCUCAUGUGUGCCGCGGGUCAGCCUGGCUCGAGCUAACUGUCUGCGUAACGCUCGGAAAAUCAUAUUCGAAGCCGGGUGCACGG